rnacentral:rRNA from 1 species
AGAGUUUGAUUAUGGCUCAGGAUGAACGCUGGCGGCGUGCCUAACACAUGCAAGUCGAACGAGGCAUUUUGAUUGAAGUUUUCGGAUGGAUUUCAAGAUACCGAGUGGCGGACGGGUGAGUAACGCGUGGGUAACCUGCCUCAUACAGGGGGAUAACGGUUAGAAAUGACUGCUAAUACCGCAUAAGCGCACAGUACCGCAUGGUACGGUGUGAAAAACUCCGGUGGUAUGAGAUGGACCCGCGUCUGAUUAGCUAGUUGGUGAGGUAACGGCCCACCAAGGCGACGAUCAGUAGGGGUUCUGAGAGGAAGGUCCCCCACAUUGGAACUGAGACACGGUCCAA